rnacentral:rRNA from 1 species
GAUGAACGCUGGCGGCGUGCCUAAUACAUGCAAGUCGAGCGAACGGACGAGAAGCUUGCUUCUCUGAUGUUAGCGGCGGACGGGUGAGUAACACGUGGAUAACCUACCUAUAAGACUGAGAUAACUUCGGGAAACCGGAGCUAAUACCGGAUAAUAUUUUGAACCGCAUGGUUCAAAAGUGAAAGACGGUCUUGCUGUCACUUAUAGAUGGAUCCGCGCUGCAUUAGCUAGUUGGUAAGGUAACGGCUUACCAAGGCAACGAUGCAUAGCCGACCUGAGAGGGUGAUCGGCCACACUGGAACUGAGACACGGUCCAGACUCCUACGGGAGGCAGCAGUAGGGAAUCUUCCGCAAUGGGCGAAAGCCUGACGGAGCAACGCCGCGUGAGUGAUGAAGGUCCUCGGAUCGUAAAACUCUGUUAUUAGGGAAGAACAUAUGUGUAAGUAACUGUGCACAUCUUGACGGUACCUAAUCAGAAAGCCACGGCUAACUACGUG